AUUCCGGGGCCCUGGUUUCUUGGCGCGAUGAGGUUCCGGUUCUGUGGUGAUCUGGACUGUCCCGACUGGGUCUUGGCAGAAAUCAGCACGCUGGCCAAGAUGGUUGAUCCUCUGUGAAGUUGCGGCUGCUCUGCAGCCAGGUACUAAAGGAGCUGCUGGGACAGGGAAUUGAUUAUGAGAAGAUCCUGAAGCUCACGGCUGACGCCAAGUUUGAGUCAGGUGAUGUGAAGGCCACAGUGGCAGUGCUGAGUUUCAUCCUCUCCAGUGCGGCCAAGCACAGUGUCGAUGGCGAAUCCUUGUCCAGUGAACUGCAGCAGCUGGGGCUGCCCAAAGGUACGGGUUGUGGGUGGGCAGCUGGGCAGCCUGUGGGCCAAGGGCUGCUAGAGAGGGGGACGGACCCUGAGGUGUACCCUGCCCUGUUUGGGCCAGGAGCCCAAGCUCAGCUCCCACCUGCUACCUCCAGAGCUACUCCAUUCUACCCCCAGAGCACGCGGCCAGCCUGUGCCGCUGUUAUGAGGAGAAGCAAAGC
rnacentral:sRNA from 1 species